AGCAUAUGUUGUAAGCGAUCGUGCUGCUACCAAACGCGUGGCAGAUGGGUUCAUGAGAUUUAAAAUCUCAUACGUUCGUUAUCAUGGAACAUAUUAUGUAUAUUUGCAGACCUUGCCCAGACUUCGACCAGACAUAAGACCAGACAUGCAUUGAGUAAUGGCAAGAUUCUAUAAGGCCAUAACGCGACUUUUAACACCAGAAUUUAGCUAACGAUAAGUAUCUCUUUUGGCUCUUUGGAGACACGACUGAACGACUAUGAUCCAUCUGAAGAACUGACUACUUAGAUAUUCUAUUUUAAACCUGAAAUCGAAAAAAUCUGGCUGGAUCAUUGUCAAUUAACAGAGGUCUACAAAAAACAUCGCAGGUACGGAAAAAUCUUCAUAAAAUCGCCAAAAAUAGAAGCCCUCCCGUUUCGUAUUUGUGGACUUUUCUAAUUCUCGUACGGAAAUUGCCGGAGAAUGGAAUAUUCGUAAUAUUGCAUUAAUCUGGUAGCGUGGCGGACCCAUUCGACAAAAAAGGACUUAAAUUGAAGGCAGCAAGACAUACUGCUGGAAACGUCUAUUCGGAUACCAAAUCGAACCUUUAAAGAAGUCUAGGAUCCUGUACCCAAUGCAGGUAACUGCUCUUCCGUUAAUGAGAAAGCUUUUCUAAUUAUGAAAAGGAACGUUCAAUUUGAUCGCCGUCGUCCGAUGCUCUCAACAAACGAGACCGCGUCUUUAAACCGACGAAUAUUUUAAUCAGCGUAUCACGUCGUGACACGAACCUCAUUCACGAAUGAUGCAAAAAUUUAAACAUGAAUUAACGCCCACCGGAUGUUCAUAAUUCCUUCAGAUAAUUUCGACCGCUAUUAUGAUUGUAGUAUCUUAUUCAGGAUUCAUUACGACUACGGCCAUGCAGCAGCAUUAAUGAAAACGAUAGUCUCUAAAGCUCAGGCUGUUUCCCCGCAAAAAGAUUGCACGUUCAUAUCCUUUGCGUCGUCAACUUUUCAUUCUCCAAUUGACUCAACUCAAUUGAGAGUAUACGAGACAUAAGAUCUUAUCUACAAUGGCUCAAGUGGUACAAAUAUUUUUUCGCGAAAGUCUGCCUUGUAGUCUAAAAAAACGAUUACAAAAAACAUGAAAAAAAUAAAACAAAUCAAGUUAUGUAUGCAUUAACGUCCAUGAAAUAAAUUAUCCCAAGGAUUGAGACCGAGUAAAAAGAAAAGGAUUCGAAAAGAAGAAACAUAAAAUCUUCCGCCGCUUCUUUGGCGAACCGAUGCAUGAAUCUUCAUCAUUGACAAGACGCACGACACUCCUACAAAUUUCAGUACAUAAAUAUGACCCUGAAACGACAACAAUAAACGUAUAAAAACCGACUCUACAAUCGAACUAAACUUCUCGUUAUGUAUACAUGGCAGACAACACGAAUAUAUAUAUUCAUAUUACAAUGCAUACAUACUGAACAAAAAAAUAAGGAAUGCUAUAUAAUGCGCGCAUAUCAGAGCGCCAUUUAAAGAUAUUACAUACAUAUACUUUCUGUUCGUGUUAAGAUUACCAAAUUGUUUUCGUCGAUUAUAGGAUGACCUUAAAUGGUCCUAUAUACAUAUAGAUAAAUCGGGUCA